rnacentral:misc_RNA from 1 species
AUGAUUCGGAAAAUACGAUCACUGGAUACGAACAAGACGAAAAUGAUGCACCGAAACGAGGAUAUGUGAAAAGUUCGUAUGAGGAAGAUGAUGACGAAGAGAAUGAAGAGGACGAAGAGGAUGAAGAGGACGAAGAGGACGAGUCUAGCGAAGGUGCAUAUCAGGAAAAUGACGAGUGAAUGUGAAACUCAUCAUGUGAAAGUAUCGAAACUUCGACUUUUGAAGAAAUCGUAUGAUGAUAAUUAUGACGAUUCUAGUUAAGUUGAUAAUUCAACAAAAAGUGCUUAUAAAGAUAAUGAGGACGACAUCCGAUAUUUAUCCUAUAGUAAAGACGUAUUGCCUUAACUCAUACCUGGUUUUGUUAUAUUUUAUUGUUAUAUUAGUUAUGUUGGGAAAUAAACUAUGAAAAUUU